rnacentral:rRNA from 1 species
UUGAACGCUGGCGGAAUGCUUUACACAUGCAAGUCGAACGGCAGCACGGGGGCAACCUUGGUGGCGAGUGGCGAACGGGUGAGUAAUACCUAGGAACAUGUCCAGUAAUGGGGGAUAACGCAGCGAAAGCUGUGCUAAUACCGCAUACGACCUGAGGGAGAAAGCGGGGGCUCGCAAGACCUCGCGCGAUUGGAGUGGCCGAUAUCUGAUUAGCUAGAUGGUGAGGUAAAGGCUCACCAUGGCGACGAUCAGUAGCUGGUCUGAGAGGAUGAUCAGCCACACUGGGACUGAGACACGGCCCAGACUCCUACGGGAGGCAGCAGUGGGGAAUUUUGGACAAUGGGCGAAAGCCUGAUCCAGCCAUUCCGCGUGAGUGAAGAAGGCCUUCGGGUUGUAAAGCUCUUUCGGCAGGAACGAAACGGUGGGGUCUAAUACGCCUUACUAAUGACGGUACCUGAAGAAGAAGCACCGGCUAACUACGU